UCCGGUUUAAACGUUUGGCGCCACUCGCCCCGCGCCCCUCAGGAGCCAGCCCCGCUAGGUCUAGAUGGGCUGCGCCCCACCUGCUCCGGAGCGAGGCCCAGCUGGGAUCUCGCAGGGACCGCCUGACCGGAGAGGAGGCCCGCACCUACCUGUGCGGAGGCUGCAGGGCGAGCCCCGCUCUAGCUGCCGGUGCCGCUCGCUGCCGAUUUGAAUUUAACCCGCUAGUCAGGAGGUGUCCAAGGCAAACACAUCUUUGGAAAAUUGUGAAGGAUAGUGACUGUGUGGCACGGUCUGGGAUCUCAAUGCGGUGCCUUAGGCUCAUUUGUGUUGACCCUAUGCAGUCCUUCAUGAUUGAGGCUGCUAAACCAGUUCUCUGUGCCUGUUUGAUGACAGUUUAUUGCCUAGAUAGAUGAAGUCAUCCACUACUUCCACAGUUUGUCUGGAAGCACAGCUGUCUUGUAUCACAACUUUUGUGCUGAUGCUCUGGAAUUUUUGUGUUUGCCCAAGAAGCCCUGGAAAUGGAGGGUACAAAAAUGUUUUGGUAUGAAAACAGAACAUCUUAGUCCAUGAAUGCAGGACCUUGGAUAUAAAUCAACAUAAAAAGACACAAACAAAUUUAAUUUAUGACUUACCAACUUGAGCAGAACAUGCUGUAGUCUGCUUGAUCUACAAAUCAUCAUAUCAACACCACUUUGUGUAUUGCUUGGCUAAUCUUGAGUAUCUUAUUUGUUCUGCUUGGUAAAACUGUUUACACUAUUUGGCAAUGGUGGCUAACCCAAGCUGGUAUUUGUAGCUUCAAUUCAAUAAAUCUUCCUCCUUUUUAUUUAUUUUAAUAUGAUGUAAGGGUGAUUGUAGCAGGGUGGUCACCCGCUCCGGCCCUGAAGGGGUUAAAACAGCCCUGGGAAAGGGUUAGCAGAAUCUGGCUUAAAGGGACUUCCUGGGUGAGUUACUUCACGGUGCUUGAGUUUCUUCAUCUGUAAAAUAGACACCACCAUAUGUAAAGCACUUUGAAAUCCCCAAAUAAAAAACACAAUAUAUUUGUGGUGUUCUAAAAUCAAUAUUGGCAAACAAGAAAGGUCCUCAGCUCCAGAAAGUUACAUUUUAUAUCCCAGCACAUUAACUAAAACCACAAAAAAGUAGCUGAAACAUCAACUGGUAUCAGUUCCUGCUUUCUGACUAAUCUGCUUCUUGCUUGUAACCUAAAUCUGGGAAGGUUUUAACCUCCCCAGUGCUAGCACUGAAACUGUCAUAUCUGGUGGAAAGGACACUUUCAGUCUGUUAGUCAUAGUGUCAAAGCACCAUUUCAUUUCAUAGUCCAUCUCUUUAAAAGGCCGUCGCAGCAGCAAUAAACUGAGGAUCAGUUAAAGUCAGUGACAAAAAUAGAAUUUUGUUUUUAACAUUUCUACAUAUAAGAAACCAGGAUGAUGAAACUGAUUUGCAGCUCAUUGAAAAGUCCUGCUCUUUUACAUCUUCCCAGCUGACACUUGGUGCUCAGAUAAUAGUCAGAACACAGGGGAAAAAAGGAUUAUAGCUUUACCUUAGUGACACUAUAGUUAUGGCAGAGGAGACACUUUCUUUCUAAGCCCUUAUUUUCAGGCACUAAUAGCUUUUCUGAAUAUAUUACCCUUAGAGUUCCCAUUUCUCAUGCCUAUUUUCAUCUCAAAGGUGUAUUGUGGUGGUUUCUGACUAACUUCUAUAACAUUUUCUUUGGC